GAUAAAGUGUCAAGCGGCAUAACAUUUUGACUACUUUGAAAAGAAAAAACCAAGUUAGAGACAGAAAGAGAGAAAGAAAGAAAGAAACGAAAAUACGAAAACCAUAAAAGGUAUAAAGAAAAGUAAUGAGAUAGAAGGCGAAGCGUUAUGUUAUCCAAAUUGUUAACCAUGUCGAAAGCCAUGUCCAUGUCCAUGUCUAUGUCUAUGUCCUUCCAAUCUGACAAGCACGAAGUUCUCUGCAGAGGCUUUUCCACCUUCAUCUCCCUCCCACGCGCCACCGCGCCCUUCCGUCUCAGGGCUUUCUCCACCGCCGUCACUGAUAAGCCCUCUGUUUGUACAGCCGACGAACUCCAUUAUGUCUCCCUCUCCAAUUCCGAUUGGAAACUCGCUCUCUGGCGCUACAACCCUUCGCCUCUCGCACCUCCGAGGAAUCAUCCUCUGUUGCUCUUGUCGGGCGUGGGAACUAACGCCAUUGGAUAUGACCUUUCACCUGAGUCAUCAUUUGCACGUUACAUGUCUGGGCAGGGAUUUGAAACUUGGAUUCUUGAAGUACGAGGAGCUGGGUUGAGUCUUCAGGGUUCAAAUUCUAAAGAUAUUGAACAAUCUGCUAAUGCAAUGUCUGAGAAGAUGGAAGCUGCUUCAGAAAUUGCUACAGGUACCAACGGAGCCAUGGCUUCAAACAAAGAAUUGAAUAACAUCUCUUGCACCGUGUCUGAACCUCAGAUUCCUCCUGUCUUAAACGGGGUAGAAACUGAGAAUGUGGCCAUCAAAGGUGACCUAACUAGGCUGGCUACUGUUUGGGAUGAAUCAAAGUUGGUGGCAAGAUUGACUGAGACUCUUAUGUUUUUGUCAGAAAGGGUCUCUGGGUUUCUGAGUGAAAGUCAAUCAAGGGUAAUGUUUUCCAAAUUUCUAGAUCAGAUUUCAAAACUUCUGGUGGAUUCUCCACUAUACGAACAAUUCAAUGAGGUAAGGGGAAAGCUUUCAACUUUGUUUGAAACAAAGCAAAACUCUGGUAUUACUAGUCAAAUAACUGAUCUGAGUCAAAGACUAGUAAAUAUUAUUGAGGAAGGUCAGCUAUCUGUUUCUCCUCCAUUAUAUGAUCUACAAGCUCGCUUUACUUCUACAAUAGAAGAUUUUCAGAAGCAACUUGACUUGAUUGUGAAGUAUGAUUGGGACUUCGAUAAUUACUUGGAAGAAGAUGUUCCUGCAGCGAUAGAAUACAUAGUGAAACAAAGCAUGCCUAAAGAUGGAAAAUUGCUUGCAAUUGGACACUCAAUGGGUGGUAUCUUGCUUUACUCCAUGUUGUCACGAUUUGGUUCUGAAGGAAAAGACCCAAAUUUGGCUGCAGUGGUCACACUGGCAUCAUCUUUGGAUUACACAUCUUCCAAAUCAGCUCUGAAGUUACUCUUACCCUUAGCAGAUCCUGCCCAGGCCCUCAAUGUCCCUGUUGUUCCUUUGGGGGCAUUGCUGGCAGCAGCUUAUCCUCUUUCUUCUCGUCCACCGUAUGUAUUGUCACGAUUAAAUACUUUGAUUUCAGCUGAGGACAUGAUGCAUCCAAAUUUAUUAAAGAGACUUGUUUUGAAUAACUUCUGCACCAUACCCGCAAAACUUCUCUUGCAACUCACUACAGCAUUUCGAGAACGUGGUUUAUGCAACAGGAAUGGGACCUUUUUUUAUAAGGAACAUCUACACAAAAGCAAUACCCCUAUCUUAGCUAUUGCUGGAGACCAGGAUCUGAUUUGCCCACCUGAAGCUGUCGAAGAAACCGCUAAGUUAAUUCCUGAGCACUUGGUUACCUAUGAAGUUUUUGGAAAACCCGGAGGCCCACAUUAUGCACAUUAUGAUUUAGUUGGAGGAAGGCUGGCAGUGGAGCAGGUGUAUCCCAGUAUAAUUGAAUUUCUUAGCUGUCACGACAAGUGAUGUACACCAUCAAUUUUCAUCAAAUACAUUCUUCUUGGAUAAUACUUGAUAACUACAAUCCAAACAGGUACAUUAAAUUAAGAAGAAAAGUUUAAAGAAUUUAUAACAGACUUUUUGUACUUUAGAGAAAGGGGAUUCGGCUUUUUUUGUUUCCAAACCUCAACAGCAAAAGGUAGGAAAUACGAUCGAGGAUAUAGAAAGAAAUAGGAAUUACAAGGACUCUAAUUGUUUUCUACAGCGUUUUCUUUGAAUUGUUGUAAAGUAUAUGUACAUAAUUUCCUACACGACUCUCCACAUUCUGGCUGCAACCUGCCCACUCGAUUGUUUCACCAACUUGUGUAUGUGCUUGCAUGAUAAGGCCCUUCGAUCUGAGUUUCUAUCCAAAUUGCACGGAUACUUUAAAAGUGUCA